GGGUGAGGUAGAGUCUCAAUGUUGUUUUUGUUUGCAUUUCUUUUAUAGCUAGAGAAGUUGAGCAUUUCUUCAUAUGUCUAUUGGCCAUUCUUCUUUCCUCUUCACAGAAAUCUCUCUUUAAGUCUUUAGCCCUACCUCCCUCAUCACUCCAUGUGCAUCCCUCCUGAAGCUGCACUCUCCGUCGAAGAGGACGACCAUCCCUGACCAUCCCAGUCAAGGGUAUAUGAGUAGUUGUGCUCCCCUGCUAGAACCUCCAAACAAGGUCUCUGGCUUUUUUUUUUGGUGAUUAAUUGGAGAUAAAAGCCUCAUGGGUUUUUGUUCAGCUAGCUUUAAACUGGGAUCCUUGGGUCUCAGGCU
rnacentral:snRNA from 1 species